AGAGUUUGAUCCUGGCUCAGAACGAACGCUGGCGGCAGGCUUAACACAUGCAAGUCGAACGCACCUUCGGGUGAGUGGCAGACGGGUGAGUAACGCGUGGGAACGUGCCCUUCAGUUCGGAAUAACCCAGGGAAACUUGGGCUAAUACCGGAUACGUGCGAGAGCAGAAAGAUUUAUCGCUGAAGGAUCGGCCCGCGUCUGAUUAGCUAGUUGGUGGGGUAAUGGCCCACCAAGGCGACGAUCAGUAGCUGGUCUGAGAGGAUGAUCAGCCACAUUGGGACUGAGACACGGCCCAAACUCCUACGGGAGGCAGCAGUGGGGAAUAUUGGACAAUGGGCGCAAGCCUGAUCCAGCCAUGCCGCGUGAGUGAUGAAGGCCUUAGGGUUGUAAAGCUCUUUCGGCGGGGGACGAUAAUGACGGUACCCGCAGAAGAAGCCCCGGCUAACUUCGUGCCAGCAGCCGCGGUAAUACGAAGGGGGCUAGCGUUGUUCGGAAUCACUGGGCGUAAAGGGCGCGUAGGCGGCUUGAUAAGUCGGGGGUGAAAGCCUGUGGCUCAACCACAGAAUUGCCUUCGAUACUGUCUGGCUUGAGACCGGAAGAGGUAAGUGGAACUGCGAGUGUAGAGGUGAAAUUCGUAGAUAUUCGCAAGAACACCAGUGGCGAAGGCGGCUUACUGGUCCGGUUCUGACGCUGAGGCGCGAAAGCGUGGGGAGCAAACAGGAUUAGAUACCCCCGUAGUCC
rnacentral:rRNA from 2 species